UACGAAGGGGGCUAGCGUUGCUCGGAAUCACUGGGCGUAAAGGGUGCGUAGGCGGGUCUUUAAGUCAGGGGUGAAAUCCUGGAGCUCAACUCCAGAACUGCCUUCGAUACUGAGGAUCUCGAGUCCGGGAGAGGUGAGUGGAACUGCGAGUGUAGAGGUGAAAUUCGUAGAUAUUCGCAAGAACACCAGUGGCGAAGGCGGCUCACUGGCCCGGUACUGACGCUGAGACGCGAAAGCUAGGGGAGCGAACAGG
rnacentral:rRNA from 1 species